rnacentral:rRNA from 1 species
GAUCCUGGCUCGGGAUGAACGCUGGCGGCGUGCCUAAUACAUGCAAGUCGAACGCUUCACUUCGGUGAAGAGUGGCGAACGGGUGAGUAAUACAUAAGUAACCUGGCAUCUACAGGGGGAUAACUGAUGGAAACGUCAGCUAAGACCGCAUAGGUGUAGAGAUCGCAUGAACUCUAUAUGAAAAGUGCUACGGGACUGGUAGAUGAUGGACUUAUGGCGCAUUAGCUUUG